AGCCGAACGCUGCUGCUUCUCUGGGCAUCGCUCUUCUCGGCCAUACUCCUCAGUUUUACCCACGCUUCUCCACUCAGCAGAAAUGUCGGUGUUGGAUUUGACUACGACGACCCUGAGCUUACGCUGCUGGCCAUCACCCGUCUGCUGCACAGCAACGCUCUCGACCAUCCAAACAAGCGAGGUC